ACACCAACCCAGAUCUACUGCCUCUGCUGUGGGCAAGUCAUCUUCCUUCUGUGUGCUUGUCCUCCUGGGGGAAUAGAAAAUGUCUCAAUUCACCCCACUGUCCUAAGGCCACAACCUUCAUGACCCCGUAUGGGCCAGAAUCAAGUUCCAGGACGACAGACAGGGCACGUGUGCUGGAUCACUGAUGUGUCCAGCCUCCCUUCUUGCUCAAGUACCUGCUGACAAUACUCUGUGGAACUGGGAUUGGUUUCUUAUUGGGAUUAGACCCCAGAGUUGGGCAUCCACUCCAGAGCAAGUCAUAUCAGUCUCCCCCGUGUUCCUCUCUCUGAUCCCUUGCAGGGCUACGCAUGCUCAGCAUCCCUCAUCUGCUCACACAGGCCGUGGGACCUGCAGAGUCAUGGUGAAAACAGAUCCUUAAGUCACCACUUGGUACCAUCCCUAAGUACUGCUCUGCAG